ACCUGCAAGGAGAAAAGGGGGAAGAGGAUUAAUGCCAGUUCUCACUUCUGUAGCCUGCAAGCUGUUUCAUAUUUAAAGCUGUAAAAUUAAAAUACAGAUGUAAUGAUAACAAUUCUUCCCCAGUUUUAUAUUCUAAUUUACAGGUGCUCAGAAUGCAAAAGGCAAACGAGAUUAGAAGUUCAAAAGCAUGUAGAAUCCUCUGCAUUUCUGGUUUUGCCUCAUAUAUAUGUAUAUAACCACAGAACUGAAGUGGAAGGACCUGAGGGCAUCUUAAGAAGUUACUGUUCCAGCCCUGCUCUGAAGUUGGAUACAUACACCUAUACGAGGUCAACCUGUAACCAAAUAGAACACAAUCAGGACGUCAUGCACUACGAAUUUGCUGAGCAUUUCUUCACACACAUACAAAAAAAUUAAUCAAGGAUAUUUCUAUAAGAUCCAGGUUCUCAAAUGAACUCUCAGAAGUGCACUACUCUUCAUCUUUGAAGAUAUGGCUUCUUCCCCUAAAUAAAGAUAAAAGAUCCCA